AACGAACGCUGGCGGCAUGCCUAACACAUGCAAGUCGAACGAGACCUUCGGGUCUAGUGGCGCACGGGUGCGUAACGCGUGGGAAUCUGCCCUUGGGUUCGGAAUAACAGUUGGAAACGACUGCUAAUACCGGAUGAUGACGUAAGUCCAAAGAUUUAUCGCCCAAGGAUGAGCCCGCGUAGGAUUAGCUAGUUGGUGAGGUAAAGGCUCACCAAGGCGACGAUCCUUAGCUGGUCUGAGAGGAUGAUCAGCCACACUGGGACUGAGACACGGCCCAGACUCCUACGGGAGGCAGCAGUGGGGAAUAUUGGACAAUGGGCGAAAGCCUGAUCCAGCAAGGCCGCGUGAGUGAUGAAGGCCUUAGGGUUGUAAAGCUCUUUUACCCGGGAUGAUAAUGACAGUACCGGGAGAAUAAGCUCCGGCUAACUCCGU
rnacentral:rRNA from 1 species